rnacentral:lncRNA from 1 species
AGNGUUUNAAACNCUAAACUGAACUUUUUCUCUUUAGUCAGCAUUAGGGUUUUAAACCCUAAACUGAACUUUUUCCAUUUAGUCAGCAUUAGGGUUUUAAACCCUAAACUGAACUUUUUCUAUUAGUCAGCAUUAGGGUUUUAAACCCUAAACUGAACUCUUCCCCUUAGUCAGCAUUAGGGUUUUAAACCCUAAAUUGAACUCUUUCCAUUUAGUCAACAUUAAGGUUUUAAACCCUAAACUGAACUCUUCCCUUUAGUCAGCAUUAGGGUUUUAAACGCUAAACUGAACUCUUCCAUUUAGUCAACAUUAGGGUUUUAAACCCUAAACUGAACUCUUCCAUUUAAUCAGGAUUAGAGUUUUAAACCCUAAACUGAACUCUUCCCUUUAGUCAGCAUUAGGGUUUUAAACCCUAAACUGAAUUCUUCCAUUUAGUUAGCAUUAGGGUUUUAAACCCUAAACUGAACUUUUCCCUUUAAUCAGGAUUAGAGUUUUAAACCCUAAACUGAACUUUUCCUUAGUCAGCAUUAUGGCAUCAACCCUAAAACUGAGCUUCUGUCCAUUCAGUCAGCAUUAGGGCCCCAACCCUAAACUGAACUUUUCCCCAGUUGGUCAACAUUAGAGUUUCAACUCUAAACUGAGCUUCUCCCCAGCUAGUCAGCAUUAGGGCUCCAACCC